UGCAUUGAGUAGUGACCCCGACGUGG
rnacentral:piRNA from 1 species